rnacentral:rRNA from 1 species
CCAUCAGAACUCCGCAGUUAAGCGGGCUUGGGCUAGAGUAGUACUGGGAUGGGUGACCUCCUGGGAAGUCCUAGUGUUGCACCCU